ACAGCGAUUGGGCCCGCUGCGCUUUUCUAUGCGAGGGGGUACCGUGCACGUCGGCACUCACCCCGGCGGGGGCGUCGUGGGGCGGCUGCCGGUUGUUGCCCCCAGAUGGGUGGGGAUGACUUAAUGAUGUCGGCCAUGUUGUGUUGAAGUGUUUUGCUCCUGUCAAACCCUGUGGUUUUUCUCUUAAAAUAAGGGGAAAAAAUGGAUGAAACGAAAGUAAUUUACCACAUAGACGACGAGGAGACGCCGUAUUUAGUGAAAAUCCCGAUAUCACCGGAAAAAGUGACCUUAGCUGACUUUAAAAAUGUGUUAAAUCGUCCCAAUUACAAGUUCUUUUUCAAGUCGAUGGACGACGAUUUCGGAGUUGUCAAAGAGGAAAUUAUCGACGAUAGUGCACAUUUGCCGUGUUUUAAUGGACGUGUAGUGAGUUGGCUGGUUUCAGCCGACGGAUCUAACCAGUCGGAUGGGGGCUCCCAGUGCACGGACAGCGUCACGCAUCCGUCGGAGCCGAGGCUGCCCCCGCAGGCGCCGGAGUCCAUCUGCACGGACACAGAGAGCAUUAUCAGCUCACGACAGGGCAGACGACAUCACAAGUAUCCCCCCAGAAUUAACGGCCACCUUCCAAGAGUUUAUGAGACUGCAUCCAUAGUCAGUUCCGACUUGGAGACCACAAGCUUUCAAUCCGAGACGACCGGCCGCCACACGGCGCUCUCGGAAUGCUCGAGCGUGAGCAGACUGCACGUCGCCGGGCGCAAGCGACCCCAGCGCCGGCGGAAACAACGAAUGCAGGCGAUGUCGAGGACGUCGUCGUACUCGAGCAUCACCGACUCGACCAUGUCCUUGAACAUAAUCACGGUGACCCUCAACAUGGACACCGUCAACUUCCUCGGGAUUUCGAUCGUGGGCCAGAGCAAUAAGGGGGGCGACGGGGGCAUCUACGUGGGCUCGAUCAUGAAAGGGGGGGCCGUCGCUCUCGACGGGAGGAUAGAGCCGGGGGACAUGAUUUUGCAAGUCAACGACGUGAAUUUCGAGAAUAUGUCGAACGACGAGGCGGUCCGGGUGCUGCGGGAGGUGGUCCAGAAACCAGGACCAAUCAAACUUGUAGUUGCCAAAUGUUGGGACCCCAAUCCCAAGGGCUAUUUUACUAUUCCUAGAACUGAACCAGUGCGGCCUAUAGAUCCAGGGGCCUGGGUGGCGCACACGGCGGCGGUCAGGGGCGAUCCGGUGGCCCGCCCCCCUAGUAGUUCCACGGUUUCUAGCACUUCUAUCACCAGUACAAUACCAGCGAACGAACGCUUUCCAGAUCUGGAGGAACCCCUCACCGUCAACACGCCCAUGUCCACGGUAGUACAGGCCAUGCAGCGGCCCGACAGCGGCCUGGAGAUCCGGGACAGGAUGUGGCUCAAAAUAACGAUACCCAACGCCUUCAUCGGCACCGACAUGAUCGACUGGCUCCUGGCGCACGUCGAGGGGUUCCAGGAACGGAGGGACGCCAGGAAGUACGCGUCGCACCUGCUCAAGGCCGGCUUCAUAAGGCACACGGUGAACAAGAUCACCUUCUCGGAGCAAUGCUACUACAUCUUCGGGGAUCUGUGUUCGGCGAUGAGCAAUCUGAAGAUCCAGGGGGACACCGACUCGGUGGGGCCGCUCCCGAACGUCCCCAACUAUAUGCCGUACAGCGGGACGUACAACCCUCUGGAGUACAUGCCGAUGCCGUUUUACACGGCGAGCGAGAACACGGUGUAUGGGUAUAAUCGUGAGGAGUCGGUGUUGAGCGGAAGCGGUGGCUCAUCUAACGGCUCCGACCACCUCAAGGACGCAGCGGCGGGCCACAGCAGCGCCUCCGACAGCGAUCUGACGUCACUCGGCCCCCGCUCCGCCCUGCCGAUGGCGACCGGAAACGGAAACGGUUCGUCGAACGGUUCGGAUCAGAGCAGCGGGACGCAGGUUGCAGCCCAAUCCAAAGACAUUGCCGUUUUAAGUUACCUCUAAGUGCAAUAUUAAUAGCCACAAACACAAUUUUGCAAUGUUUGCGAAUAAUUUUCUCAAGAUCAGACGGGGGUCGUCAGUUAUCAAUUUACUCAAACGUAAGAACCCUUCCAAGCGUAUACUGAACGUAAUUUUAUAACUGCUUUGUAAAUGUAUUAUUCAUGUACAGUUUAUUUCGUAUUAGGAAUUUUAGUGCGUUAUGUGUAGGUUAGCACUCAUUUCAACAAAUCGUAUUUAUUUAAAGUUUCGUUUUUCAUGUUGUAACACUGCCAUACUUAGGUGCUUCUGUAUAAUUAUCGAUAUAUUAUAUUAGUAUUAAAAGUUUAUUUAUAUCAUUGUUAAAUUAAGCGACUUUUUUAUUUUGUGAUAUAUUUUUUUUUAUUAUAAUAAAGAUUUUAUUAUAUUGACGAUGCUAUCACAGGGUAAUUUGUUUUGGCAUUUAGUACAACUAGCAUAAGUUACUCGUUAUCAUUUGUGUUAUUUUUGUGGAGCAUACAGGGAAAAUGUAACCAGAAAAACUACAAAAAAAUCUUUUGUGUGACUGAAAAUGUUAUAAGAUGUAUUAAUACAAAUCAUACCCGAAAUAAAUUUAUGUCAACA